AACGAACGCUGGCGGCAGGCUUAACACAUGCAAGUCGAACGCACCUUUCGGGGUGAGUGGCAGACGGGUGAGUAACGCGUGGGAAUCUACCCUUCUCUACGGGAUAGCUCCGGGAAACUGGAAUUAAUACCGUAUACGUCCUGAGGGAGUAAGAUUUAUCGGGGAAGGAUGAGCCCGCGUUGGAUUAGCUAGUUGGUGGGGUAAAGGCCUACCAAGGCGACGAUCCAUAGCUGGUCUAAGAGGAUGAUCAGCCACAUUGGGACUGAGACACGGCCCAAACUCCUACGGGAGGCAGCAGUGGGGAAUAUUGGACAAUGGGCGCAAGCCUGAUCCAGCCAUGCCGCGUGAGUGAUGAAGGCCCUAGGGUUGUAAAGCUCUUUCAGUGGGGACGAUAAUGGCGGUACCCACAGAAGAAGCCCCGGCUAACUUCGUGCCAGCCGCCGCCGUAA
rnacentral:rRNA from 1 species